AGAAUUCGGCCGGACAUUUUCCUCCUCCCAGUGUCAGGCCGAGCGAUCGGUGGCCCUCCUCCUCCCAGCUGCCGAUCAAACAAAGUGCGCCCGCCGGAUCUCCUCCCCCGGCGGGCGCUCUUG
rnacentral:sRNA from 1 species